AUGACACGCAGUAGGCAGGAAUAGCUUACGUUUCUUUAAGCCCAUUUCAGAACCUGCCAGCAGGCUGGUGUAUCUGUAACCUGGGGAUCAGCAGCCAUCUAAAAUGUAGUAGGAUCAUAGCAGGUCCAUUCUGCUGCUGCAUGUAAAAAGCAAAAAACCAGCCACAGACUAAGGGCAGUAAAUCAGGUUUGCCUGGGAGGAGGAUUGAAGAUGAACAUGAAUGCCUCAAUAGAAGGAAAACUCUUCAGGUGCUUGUGGAACUUGCAUGAAUGGGAAAAAAUAGCAAAUGAAUCGCUCGUUCUAGUUGAAUAGGGGAUUGUUUUAAAAAUUAUCAUCACUGAAUAUCAGAAAUCUGAAAUUUGGUCCCAUUGUUAAAGCCUGGCUGACAUAUUAGAUGCUUCCAUUCACUAGCACAAAAAAUUAAAUGAAAAGCUCUCCUUGUGUUAUAAAUGACUUUAAUUCAAUUUCAGCCCAGCAACAAGUUUGCAAAAACAUAAAUACAUGUGUAACCAAACCAAAUGUGAAAUCGGUUUACCUGGUCAGAAAUCAGCCUCUGCUUUUUUGCUUCCUUCUACAAAAGGUUACAUAAAUUUACUUUUUUGAAGACAACCUUUUAAAACUUGGAUGCAACUACUAAAGAAUCUUAAGAAUUUGGCAAGUAACCCACAGCGUAGUUUCUUUGAGUACAAAGGGAUUCACCCUCCAUAAUAUCCUACUAAUCAGCACCACUUAAAGGCUUCUGAAAAAGUGUGGAUUGAUCAUACGUUGAAAAGACAUCAUUAAAGUUACAGAAACUAUGAAUAGUAACAGUUUAUAGUGGAGGUUGGGGUAACCUAGGGUCUGUAGACACAGGCUUUGGCAACAGGUACUUUCCCCAUAUCACCACGGGCAGAAGCAGCCAUGGAUAGGUCCUACCUAGCACUUGGCUUUCCCCAACCUGACUCAAGUCAUUCCAGUCUGUGGCCUGAAAAAAAGGUUUCCAGCUGCUGUUCUAUAGGAGUCUCUGAACUUCAUGUAUUUUACAUUUUGAAUAAAAAAAGAACAUCAAAGCAGCAUGAAACCUUCAGGGAAUAUCAGUGAUUUCUGACUGGCUGAAAUGUUUUUUUAUGACAGUUAUGUAUCAUUAUGCAUGUAAUUUGUAAAGAUCUCUUCUGCUCCCUGUGCAUGCUGUCUUGUAGGGCCCACCUUUCCUUGGCUGCAUGCAGAUGCUCUGCUGUUGCACCUUUGUGUUUUUUACUGUUAAACCCCCUAUUUACAGAUCCUGGGGGA